AGUUGGUGGGGUAAAGGCCUACCAAGACUAUGAUGUGUAGCCGGGCUGAGAGGUUGAACGGCCACAUUGGGACUGAGACACGGCCCAAACUCCUACGGGAGGCAGCAGUAGGGAAUUUUCGGCAAUGGAGGAAACUCUGACCGAGCAACGCCGCGUGAACGAUGAAGUAUUUCGGUACGUAAAGUUCUUUUAUUAGGGAAGAAUAAAUGAUGGAAAAAUCAUUCUGACGGUACCUAAUGAAUAAGCCCCGGCUAACUAUGUGCCAGCAGCCGCGGUAAUACAUAGGGGGCAAGCGUUAUCCGGAAUUAUUGGGCGUAAAGGGUGCGUAGGCGGUUAAAUAAGUUUAUGGUCUAAGUGCAAUGCUUAACAUUGUGAUGCUAUAAAAACUGUUUAACUAGAGUAAGAUAGAGGCAAGUGGAAUUCCAUGUGUAGUGGUAAAAUGCGUAAAUAUAUGGAGGAACACCAGUAGCGAAGGCGGCUUGCUGGGUCUUUACUGACGCUGAGGCACGAAAGCGUGGGGAGCAAACAGGAUUAGAUACCCUGGUAGUCCACGCCGUAAACGAUGAGUACUAAAUGUUGGGUAAAACCAGUGUUGAAGUUAACACAUUAAGUACUCCGCCUGAGUAGUACGUACGCAAGUAUGAAACUUAAAGGAAUUGACGGGACUCCGCACAAGCGGUGGAUCAUGUUGUUUAAUUCGAAGGUACCCGAAAAACCUCACCAGGUCUUGACAUGCUUCUGCAAAGCUGUAGAAACACAGUGGAGGUUAUCAGUUGCACAGGUGGUGCAUGGUUGUCGUCAGCUCGUGUCGUGAGAUGUUGGGUUAAGUCCCGCAACGAGCGCAACCCUUAUUGUUAGUUGCCAGCACGUAAUGGUGGGGACUUUAGCAAGACUGCCAGUGAUAAAUUGGAGGAAGGUGGGGACGACGUCAAAUCAUCAUGCCCCUUAUGACCUGGGCUACAAACGU
rnacentral:rRNA from 1 species